rnacentral:rRNA from 1 species
CCUACGGGCGGCAGCAGUGAGGAAUAUUGGUCAAUGGGCGUAAGCCUGAACCAGCCAAGUCGCGUGAGGGAUGACGGUUCUAUGGAUCGUAAACCUCUUUUAUAAGGGAAUAAAGUGUGGGACGUGUCCUAUUUUGUAUGUACCUUAUGAAUAAGGAUCGGCUAACUCCGUGCCAGCAGCCGCGGUAAUACGGAGGAUCCGAUCGUUAUCCGGAUUUAUUGGGUUUAAAGGGUGCGUAGGCGGACUUUUAAGUCAGCGGUGAAAGUCUGUGGCGCAACCAUAGAAUUGCAGUUGAAACUGGGGGUCUUGAGUAUGUUUGAGGUAGGCGGAAGUCGUGGUGUAGCGGUGAAAUGCUUAGAUAUCACGAAGAACCCCGAUUGCGAAGGCAGCCUGCCAGGCCAUGACUGACACUGAUGCACGAAAGCGUGGGGAUCAAACAGGAUUAGAUACCCUUGUAGUC